GACGAACGCUGGCGGCGUGCUUAACACAUGCAAGUCGAACGGAAAGGCCCCUUUGGGGGUACUCGAGUGGCGAACGGGUGAGUAACACGUGAGUAACCUUCCCUUGACUUCGGGAUAACUUCCGGAAACUGGGGCUAAUACCGGAUAGGAAUCCUUGCUGCAUGGUGGGGGUUGGAAAGCUUCGGCGGUUUUGGAUGGACUCGCGGCGUAUCAGCUUGUUGGUGGGGUAGUGGCUUACCAAGGCUUUGACGGGUAGCCGGCCUGAGAGGGCGACCGGCCACAUUGGGACUGAGAGACGGCCCAGACUGCUACGGGAGGCAGCAGUGGGGAAGAUUGAACAAUGGGCGGAAGCCUGAUGCAGCAACGCCGCGUGCGGGAUGACGGCCUUCGGGUUGUAAACCGCUUUCAGCAGGGGCGAAGCUUGUGGUGACGGUACCUGCAGAAGAAGCACCGGCUAACUACGUG
rnacentral:rRNA from 1 species